AACGUAGGAGACAAACGUUAUCCGGAGUUACUGGGCGUAAAGGGCGUGCAGGCGGUCGACUAAGUCUGGCGUGAAAGCUCUCGGCUAAACCGGGAGAGGUCGUUGGAUACUGGUUGACUAGAGGACGGUAGAGGCGUGUGGAAUUCCGGGUGUAGUGGUGAAAUGCGUAGAGAUCCGGAGGAACACCAGUGGCGAAGGCGACACGCUGGGCCGUACCUGACGCUGAUACGCGACAGCAUGGGGAGCGAACGGG
rnacentral:rRNA from 1 species